AACGAACGCUGGCGGCAUGCCUAACACAUGCAAGUCGAACGAGACCUUCGGGUCUAGUUGCUCACGGGUGCGUAACGCGUGGGAACCUGCCCUUAGGUUCGGAAUAACUCCCCGAAAGGGGUGCUAAUACCGGAUAAUGUCUUCGGACCAAAGAUUUAUCGCCUUUGGAUGGGCCCGCGUUGUAUUAGCUAGUUGGUAGGGUAAAAGCCUACCAAGGCGACGAUCCAUAGCUGGUCUGAGAGGAUGAUCAGCCACACUGGGACUGAGACACGGCCCAGAAUCCUACGGGAGGCAGCAGUGGGGAAUAUUGGAAAAUGGGCGAAAGGAUGAUCCAGCAAUGCCGCGUGAGUGAUGAAGGCCUUAGGGUUGUAAAGCUCUUUUACCCGGGAUGAUAAUGACAGUACCGGGAGAAUAAGCUCCGGCUAACUCCGUG
rnacentral:rRNA from 1 species